rnacentral:rRNA from 1 species
UACGUAGGUGGCAAGCGUUGUCCGGAUUUACUGGGUGUAAAGGGCGUGCAGCCGGAGAGACAAGUCAGAUGUGAAAUCCACGGGCUCAACCCGUGAACUGCAUUUGAAACUGUUUCCCUUGAGUGUCGGAGAGGUAAUCGGAAUUCCUUGUGUAGCGGUGAAAUGCGUAGAUAUAAGGAAGAACACUAGUGGCGAAGGCGGAUUACUGGACGAUAACUGACGGUGAGGCGCGAAAGCGUGGGGAGCAAACAGG